GGACCUGAGAGGGUGGCCCCCCACAAUGGUACUGAAACACGGACCAUACACCUACGGGUGGCAGCAGUAGGGAAUACUGCACAAUGGACGAAAGUCUGAUGCAGCAACGCCGCGUGUGCGAUGAAGGCCUUCGGGUUGUAAAGCACUUUUCUGAGGGAAGAGGAAGGACUGUACCUCAGGAAUAAGUCUCGGCUAACUACGUGCCAGCAGCCGCGGUAACACGUAGGAGGCAAGCGUUAUCCGGAUUUACUGGGCGUAAAGCGCGUGUAGGCGGUUUGGCAAGUCGGAUGUGAAAGCUCCUGGCUCAACUAGGAGAUGCCGUUCGAUACUGCCAGACUAGAGGACGGUAGAGGGAGGUGGAAUUCCCGGUGUAGUAGUGAAAUGCGUAGAUAUCGGGAGGAACACCAGUGGCGAAGGCGGCCUCCUGGGCCGUUCCUGACGCUGAGACGCGAAAGCAUGGGUAGCGAACGGGAUUAGAAACCCCGGUAGUCCAUGCCGUAAACGAUGCGAACUUGGUGUCGGUGGUGUAAAAACUAUCGGUGCCGUAGCUAACGCGGUAAGUUCGCCGCCUGGGGAUUACGACCGCAAGGUUAAAACUCAAAGGAAUUGACGGGUUCCCGCACAAGCAGCGGAGCGUGUGGUUUAAUUCGAUACUACGCGAAGAACCUUACCUGGGCUUGACAUACUAGUGGUAGGGAACCGAAAGGGGACCGACCCCUCGGGGAGCUAGUACAGGUGCUGCAUGGCUGUCGUCAGCUCGUGCCGUGAGGUGUCCGGUUAAGUCCGGUAACGAGCGCAACCCUUGCCGUAUGUUACAAGUGUCAUACGGGACUGCCGAUAUAAAGUCGGGGGAAGGAGGGGAUGACGUCAAGUCAGCAUGGCCUUUAUGUCCAGGGCUACACACACGCUACAAUGGCCGGUACAAUGGGUCGCAAAGCCGCGAGGCAGAGCCAAUCCUCAAAACCGGUCUCAGUUCGAAUUGGAGGCUGCAACUCGCCUCCAUGAAGCCGGAGUUGCUAGUAAACGCGCGUCAGCACAGUGCGUUGAAUACGUUCCCGGGAAUUGUACACACCGCCCGUCACGUCAUGGGAGCUGGCAACACCUGAAGUCGGUAUCCUAACCCUAACGGGAGGGAGCUGCCAAAGGUGGGGCUGGUGACUGGGACGAAGUCGUAACAAGGUAGCUGUAGCGGAAGCUGCGGCUGG
rnacentral:rRNA from 1 species